UCUAAUUUGAAAACGUAAUGAUUUUACGUUCUUCUUUACCUAAUGUUUGCAUGACUCAUGAUGGAUUUCAGGUUUGGCUGAUUUGAUAAUGCCCAUUUGAUCCUUCUUCUAUAUGUAAAUGGCUAAAUUAGGUUUGGGUGAUCUGAGAAUGGCCAUUUGGUCCUUCUGCAAGUAAAUGGGCUGAGUUAGGCUUACCCAUUAUUCACUUUGUACCAGCAUCUUCAUGGAGUCUCUCUCAGUUCAGAUCCACUCUCUUCUAAUCAUUCAUGUCUAUGGCAAACCAUGCUUUCUAUCAGUGAAAUAUCCAGAUAUUGAUUCCUUUUAUUUAUCAUCUCCCCGAGAAAAUGCUGCAGCGAUGCAAGCUGUCAAGUAUAUGAAUCGUUCGUGCAGAAGGUACUUAAAUAUCAUAGCUAAAACGAACUUAGUAAGAAGAAAUAAUCUGAGCAGUGUCGUCGCAUACAAGUGAAUGAGGACAAGAAGAUUAAAGUGGCUGGGAUGAUUUCAUAGGAGGAUCCGAACAACUACAUGAGCCUAUUUCAGCAUGACUUGAACAGGUAAGCUCUUGCAGCUGGAUCUACUAGAUUAGUCUACACAUUAAACAGAACUCUAAUCCAUUAGAAAAUUUGGCUGCCAGCAAGACAAAACAAUCAGACUAUGCUUUGUCUUUCAGAUUCACUCUGAACUCUGAAAACAAGGCCAGAUAAUAUGGUAAUAUCACAGCAACUUUGUUUUGUGUUGUUUUAUGCUUGCUCCUUAUCUUUCCGGUUCCAUUGCAUUGCGAUAAAAGGAUUGUGUGCUGCAACUGAUUUGGGUCAUCUUAUUGUUCAGUUCUAAUCCUGCUGACUGCUCUAAGCUAGAAAUGUAACUAUAUUUUUACUUUUGUUGUUGGAUGGUAAGUAGUAUGCAAAAC